UAACAGCCCUGACUCUGAAGUAACAUUACUAUAAACAUAAGCAAAUAAUUCAUAGUGAUGCCAAAACAAAGCAUUUCAAAUAUGAGAGCGAUGCACAAUGCCGAAAAUAUAUUUAGAGUUCCAAUAAUAUCACAAAGAAGACUUUUAACAGAUCCUUCAAACCCGAGUCAGAACUCCGAUAUCAUACAAAAAUUUCAGAAGGCUUUCAAAAGGAUGAGAGAGUGUGGCCUCGAUUGAUCGAAAGUGUGAAAAGGAAAGUUAAGCCUGCAGGGCACAAAGAUUCUCAAAGUGAAAAGAAUAAAGAAUGUUUUUGAGAAAAUUUUCAGUGUCAAAGCCAAAGAAAAACUUCUAAAGGCAGCACAGUAUAAUUUACAAACAACAGCUGGUCCUAUAGCAAGCCUUCUCUUCAUUUCCACUGAUAGGGAUUCUUUUCGCAGUCACAAACCAGUUAAGAUUUCUUUUUCCAGUGGUGAGAUUAUUAAAUUACACUACAAGAUUCAAUUCUACUGAGAAAAAUUCCGAGAGUAAAGAGUUUAAAGAAACCAUCGCACAAUUACAUCCAAGUAGUAACUGAGGAUAAUUUUGAUUUCUGGUUCAUGGGAUCCUUGAAUCACAAGAGCAUCUUGAAAUGUCUUCAGGAGGCGAUAUACAAGAGCCAAAGCCACUAUAUUCUAUGACAAAUCUUGAAAGGGCACUCUAAAGGCUUAAAGAGAUAAACCGUCUGCAUUAGCAAAAUCUAUUAUAAUAAAUAUUUCUCUGUGACUAGUAAUUAAGUACUUACGACAAAGUACCAAGAGAGGUUUUACGGAGAGACUUGGGGGCUAGAGGUGUACCUGUGGCGUACAUUACGGCGAUCAAGGGCCUGUAUGAGGGAGCCAAGGCUGGGAUAAGGACAGUGAGCGGAGACUCAGAGCAUUUCCUAGUGGAGAUGGGGUUGCACUAGGGAUCAGCUCUUAGCCCAUUUUCAUUUUCCUUGGUGAUGGAUGGUUUGACGCAGCAAAUUCAAGGUGAGGUGCCAUGGUGUAUGUUAUUCGUGGAUGACAUAGACUUGAUUGACGAGACUCGCAGCAGAGUUGAUGAGUUAUGACAUUUCAUAGUUUUGAUGAUCGACAUUUACAUCAAGGACCCGGUCCUUGAUCAGGUCUCUCAGAGCUACAUGUCGGCUAAAAGACAAGGAUUAUUGCAACGUCUCUAUCUAUAUCACAUGCCAUUCACAUGAUCCUUACACACUCUCAUUGGUUCCUUAUAUAAACAACAUAUUGGCAUAUGUUUAACCUAGCACUUCAAAUCAUAUUAUUCUCAUUGUUGAAAAGAGCAGUCGCCACUGUUUUCUCUGAGCUUUCAAGAUCAAGACUAAAUAACUCCAAGGAUCAGAUCCCAAGACUGAAGAUAUCUUAAGUCCUAGGUUGUUUAGUCUUUGUCUUCUUGUUCUUAAUAUUGUAAACCUAUACUUAUUUCAAGAAGGGUUCUGUAGGUAUUUGGUUUAUUAAGCUUUCUGUGUAAGCACCUGACUAUAGUCAGUUAUGGUGAGUUGAGGUUCAGCUAGAGUUAGUUGACUCUGUUGGUUCUUAGCUAGAGUAAGUCAAGAGAGUGCUUGCAAUAGAGUUAUUGUAAGAGGAGGGAAUAGUGAGCUAAUUCCUUGGUUGCAAAA